CCGCCCCUGCCUGCCACAGCGAUGGCCGCCGCCGCCGGCGGAGAGGACGACGCGGCGUGGGAGCGCGCCAUCUCCGCCGCCACCAAGUCCACCUCGGCGCCCAAGAACCUCACCCUCGACGGCGCCGUCAAGUCCUCCACGGGCGGCCUCCCCUCCGCCGUGCUCCUCGAGCGCUUCGCUGCCUCCCUGGAGGAGCUCUCCGUCGCGGGGGCGCGCCUCUCCUCGCUAACGAGCCUGCCACACCUCCCGGCGCUCCGGCGCCUCUCCCUCCCCGACAACCACCUCUACCUAGGGAACAACCGGUUCGCGGAGGUCUAGGAGCUCGCGCCGCUCGCCGGGGUCCGGGUCGAGUCGCUCGACCUGUUCCAGUGCCCCGUCACCAAGGUCAAGGGGUACAGGGAGGAGGUCUUCGCGCUGAUUCCUAGCCUCAAGUACCUUGAUGGCGCUGACGCUGAGGGCAACGAGCGUUUGGAGACGGAUGACGACGAGGACGAGGAGGAGGACGACGACGAGGGAGAAGAAGGGGCGGAGGGAGAGGAGGAGGGCGAUGAGGAUGAUGGAGAGGAAGAACAUGACGAGGAGGAGGUGGAGGCGAAUUUCUCUUUGGAUGUUUUGUCAUGAAAAUUCCAUCAGGCCAGAGAAUCUGUACGCAGAGAAAAUACAGACUAAAUUAUGGGGGGUGAUCCUGCACAAAAAAUCCAUUGAUAACAGGUGACUGGAUUCUAAGCGAGGCUACUCAUCACCCGUAACUUUGGAAGUGUCGGUAUGUGUAGUGUUGUUGUGUGUACCUUGAAUUUCUUUCUACAUCUUCCUGUGGUGGCAUAGAAUGCGUGCAGUAAGCUGCAUUCCACCAAUGGUCAGAUUGAUGCAUAAAUCAUCAUGUGCGUGGUGAUUCAGGAUAAACUAAUUGCCUGAUUGGGUUUUUGGUGCUGCCAAUUUAUCUGCAUUUACAAGAAGGCAGAAAAUGAUGCAAAAUCUAUGUGUCCUUUUGGAUCUCACCAAUUGUCAGCACGUCUGCUUAUAGCGAAGUUCUAGAGAAGGAAAAGAUGGAAUUAAACUUAAAUUUUGGUGGCUGCAUAAGUGUGGAGACUUGAAUUGAUAUAUGCUUAGUUAGGCUCAACGUUAGCGCAAACCGUUGAUGCAAACAGUUGAUGACCAAGUUUUUCCAUUAGUAUUUUAGUAUGGAUUUAAAGUACACUUAUGUAUGAGUUAUUUGACAAUGCUUAUUUAUGAGAUAUUGAAUGAUACUUAUCUAUAUUAUAUUAAUUAUAAUGUUAUU